rnacentral:snRNA from 1 species
GUACUCAUAUUGACAGGACAUAUACUAAAAUUGGAACAAGAGAAGAUUAGCACCACCCCUAUCCAAGGAUGACAGGUAAAUUCAUGAAGCCUUCCAUAUUUUU